AGCGAACGCUGGCGGCAGGCCUAACACAUGCAAGUCGAACGAAGUCUUCGGACUUAGUGGCGGACGGGUGAGUAACACGUGGGAACGUGCCUUUAGGUUCGGAAUAACUCAGGGAAACUUGUGCUAAUACCGAAUGUGCCCUUCGGGGGAAAGAUUUAUCGCCUUUAGAGCGGCCCGCGUCUGAUUAGCUAGUUGGUGAGGUAAAGGCUAACCAAGGCUACGAUCAGUAGCUGGUCUGAGAGGAUGACCAGCCACAUUGGGACUGAGACACGGCCCAAACUCCUACGGGAGGCAGCAGUGGGGAAUCUUGCGCAAUGGGCGAAAGCCUGACGCAGCCAUGCCGCGUGGAUGAUGAAGGUCUUAGGAUUGUAAAAUCCUUUCACCGGUGAAGAUAAUGACUGUAGCCGGAGAAGAAGCCCCGGCUAACUUCGCGCCAGCCGCCGCCGUAAUAC
rnacentral:rRNA from 1 species